GGAAACCCCAUGCUGGGGUUUGUGUACAAAUUGAGAGUGCCUUGCCUUGAAUAAACCAGAUUACUUCCAGCAUUAAAUCUCGGCUAAUGUCUGGGGGAAAGAGCUAUGUCACUUCACUUUGAUUUAAUCACUAAAGAUGGCGCUGACGGGGAUUCUGGAAAGGGGAAAGGACAUACUUGGCGGCGAGACUCGUGUCCCUACACGAGUGGCCACCACAUCUGGUGGCCGUGGUGGAAUGGUCCUUUUUCCCAGGAUUGAAUACAGAGCCAGGAGAUAAUUGCGAGUCAGCGGAUGAAGAGCAGCUACAAACAACUGAAAAAGUCUACAUUAAAAGACUUGCUGGAAAGCCGGGGACGUAGCACCAACAACCGACCUAAAAGAGCCCUGAUAGCAGAGCUCAUAGGUGUUACGGCCCCCAACCCGCGAUACCAUGUGGCCGCACCUGAUCGGUG